rnacentral:rRNA from 1 species
UACGUAGGGUGCAAGCGUUAAUCAGAAUUACUGGGCGUAAAGCGUGCGCAGGCGGUGAUGUAAGACAGUUGUGAAAUCCCCGGGCUCAACCUGGGAACUGCAUCUGUGACUGCAUUGCUGGAGUGCGGCAGAGGGGGAUGGAAUUCCGCGUGUAGCAGUGAAAUGCGUAGAUAUGCGGAGGAACACCGAUGGCGAAGGCAAUCCCCUGGGCCUGCACUGACGCUCAUGCACGAAAGCGUGGGGAGCAAACAGG